AUGCACGCUAGCGGGAGGCCUAACACAUGCAAGCCGAGCGGUAUUGUUUCUUCGGAAAUGAGAGAGCGGCGUACGGGUGCGUAACACGUGUGCAACCUGCCUUUAUCUGGGGGAUAGCCUUUCGAAAGGAAGAUUAAUACUCCAUAAUAUAUUGAACGGCAUCGUUUAAUAUUGAAAGCUCCGGCGGAUAGAGAUGGGCACGCGCAAGAUUAGCUAGUUGGUGAGGUAACGGCUCACCAAGGCGAUGAUCUUUAGGGGGCCUGAGAGGGUGAUCCCCCACACUGGUACUGAGACACGGACCAGACUCCUACGGGAGGCAGCAGUGAGGAAUAUUGGUCAAUGGGUGCAAGCCUGAACCAGCCAUCCCGCGUGGAGGACGACUGCCCUAUGGGUUGUAAACUUCUUUUGUAUAGGGAUAAACCUACCCUCGAGAGGGUAGCUGAAGGUACUAUACGAAUAAGCACCGGCUAACUCCGUG
rnacentral:rRNA from 1 species